rnacentral:rRNA from 1 species
GGCCUGGCUGGACGGUCUGCCUCACGGUACGUACUGUCUGGCUGGGUCUUACCUCUUGGUGAGCCGGCAUGCCCUUCGCUGGGUGUGUCGGGGAACCAGGACUUUUACCUUGAGAAAAUUAGAGUGCUCCAAGCAGGCCUGUGCUUGAAUAUGUUAGCAUGGAAUAAUAAAAUAGGACUU